UGUGGAUGUUUCAGAAUCUGAGUCUAUGG
rnacentral:piRNA from 1 species